rnacentral:rRNA from 1 species
UACGGGGGGGGCAAGCGUUGUUCGGAAUUACUGGGCGUAAAGGGAGCGUAGGCGGACAUUUAAGUCAGGGGUGAAAUCCCAGAGCUCAACUCUGGAACUGCCUUUGAUACUGGGCGUCUUGAGUGUGAGAGAGGUAUGUGGAACUCCGAGUGUAGAGGUGAAAUUCGUAGAUAAUUCGGAAGAACACCAGUGGCGAAGGCGACAUACUGGCUCAUUACUGACGCUGAGGCUCGAAAGCGUGGGGAGCAAACAGG